rnacentral:tRNA from 1 species
CCUGUGGCUCAGUGGUAAAGAAUCUGCCUGCAAUGCAGGAGACCCAGGUUCAAUCCCUGGGUCAGGA